CUUCCAUUUUCCAUUAUUAUGUGGACUACCGGAGCGACAGCGCAGUCCAAGACCUUGCAGGAUGUCUCGCCGCAAGCAAGCGAAACCGAGAUCCCUCAAAGACCCCAACUGUAAACUUGAAGACAAGACUGAAGAUGGAGAGGCAAUAGACUGUAAGAAGAGGCCGGAAGACGGAGAGGAGUUGGAAGACGAAGCUGUGCACAGCUGUGACAGCUGCCUCCAGGUGUUCGAAUCACUGAGCGAUAUCACAGAACACAAGAUUAAUCAAUGUCAGCUGACAGAUGGAGUGGAUGUUGAAGAUGAUCCCACUUGCUCUUGGCCAGCUUCCUCACCUUCCAGCAAGGACCAGACUUCCCCUAGCCAUGGAGAAGGUUGUGAUUUUGGAGAGGAAGAAGGUGGCCCUGGACUCCCAUAUCCAUGCCAAUUCUGUGACAAGUCGUUUAGCCGCCUCAGCUACCUAAAGCACCAUGAGCAGAGUCACAGUGACAAACUGCCUUUCAAAUGCACCUAUUGCAGUAGGCUGUUCAAACACAAGCGGAGCCGAGAUCGCCAUAUCAAACUCCACACAGGGGAUAAGAAGUACCACUGCAGUGAAUGUGAUGCUGCGUUCUCCAGAAGUGAUCACUUGAAGAUCCACUUAAAGACUCACACGUCCAACAAGCCAUAUAAAUGUGCCAUUUGUCGCCGUGGCUUCCUGUCCUCUAGUUCCUUACAUGGACACAUGCAGGUUCAUGAGAGGAACAAGGACGGUUCCCAGUCUGGUUCCAGGAUGGAGGACUGGAAGAUGAAGGACACUCAGAAGUGCAGUCAGUGCGAGGAAGGCUUUGACUUCCCGGAAGACCUCCAGAAGCAUAUCGCCGAAUGCCACCCUGAAUGUUCCCCAAACGAGGACCGAGCGGCCCUCCAGUGUGUCUACUGCCAUGAGCUCUUUGUGGAGGAGACCUCCCUCAUGAACCACAUGGAGCAGAUGCACGGCGGGGAGAAGAAGAACUCUUGCAGCAUUUGUUCUGAGAGUUUCCACACGGUCGAGGAACUGUACAGCCACAUGGAUAGUCACCAGCAACCCGAAUCCUGCAAUCACAGCAACAGCCCUUCCCUGGUCACGGUGGGCUACACCUCUGUGUCCAGCACGACUCCAGAUUCCAACCUCUCAGUGGACAGCUCAACCAUGGUGGAAGCUGCCCCGCCAAUCCCAAAGAGUAGAGGGAGGAAGCGGGCUGCCCAGCAGACCCCUGACAUGACCGUGCCCUCAAGUAAACAAGCAAAAGUUACCUACAGCUGUAUUUACUGCAACAAGCAGUUAUUUUCAAGUCUGGCAGUUCUGCAGAUUCACCUGAAAACUAUGCAUUUAGAUAAGCCUGAACAGGCCCAUAUUUGUCAGUAUUGCCUGGAGGUAUUGCCCUCACUCUAUAACCUAAAUGAACAUCUUAAGCAAGUGCAUGAAGCUCAGGACCCAGGUCUGAUUGUUUCUGCCAUGCCCGCCAUAGUCUACCAGUGUAACUUCUGCUCCGAAGUUGUCAAUGACCUCAACACUCUUCAGGAACACAUCCGAUGUUCUCAUGGAUUUGCGAACCCUGCAGCUAAGGAUAGCAACGCAUUCUUUUGCCCCCAUUGCUACAUGGGGUUUCUUACUGACUCUUCCCUCGAAGAGCAUAUAAGACAGGUCCAUUGUGACCUCAGUGGCUCCCGAUUUGGGUCUCCAGUGCUUGGGACUCCAAAAGAACCAGUAGUAGAAGUCUAUUCUUGUUCCUAUUGUACGAAUUCUCCAAUAUUCAAUAGUGUUCUUAAACUGAACAAGCACAUCAAAGAGAAUCAUAAAAACAUUCCUUUGGCCCUGAAUUAUAUUCACAAUGGGAAAAAAUCCAGGGCCUUGAGCCCCCUAUCUCCUGUGGCCAUAGAGCAGACAUCUCUUAAGAUGAUGCAGGCAGUGGGAGGUGCUCCUGCGCGUCCAGCCGGAGAAUAUAUCUGUAAUCAGUGUGGUGCUAAGUACACGUCCCUAGACAGCUUUCAGACUCACCUAAAAACUCACCUUGACACUGUGCUUCCAAAAUUGACCUGUCCUCAGUGCAACAAGGAAUUCCCCAACCAAGAAUCCUUGCUGAAGCACGUUACCAUUCAUUUUAUGAUCACCUCAACGUAUUACAUCUGUGAGAGUUGUGAUAAGCAGUUCACGUCGGUGGAUGACCUUCAGAAACACCUGCUGGACAUGCACACCUUUGUCUUCUUCCGCUGCACCCUCUGCCAGGAAGUUUUUGACUCGAAAGUCUCCAUUCAACUUCACUUGGCUGUAAAACACAGUAACGAAAAGAAAGUCUACAGGUGCACGUCUUGCAACUGGGACUUCCGCAAUGAGACCGACUUGCAGCUGCAUGUGAAACAUAACCACCUGGAAAAUCAAGGGAAAGUGCACAAGUGCAUUUUCUGUGGUGAAUCCUUUGGUACUGAGGUGGAGCUUCAGUGCCACAUCACCACUCACAGUAAGAAGUAUAACUGUAAGUUCUGCAGCAAAGCCUUCCACGCCAUCAUUUUGCUGGAGAAACACUUGCGGGAGAAGCACUGUGUGUUUGAAACCAAGACUCCCAACUGUGGAGCAAAUGGGGCUUCUGAGCAAGUGCAGAAGGAGGAAGUGGAGCUGCAGACCUUGCUGACCAACAGUCAAGAGUCCCACAAUAGUCAUGACGGGAGCGAAGAAGACGUGGACACCUCGGAGCCCAUGUAUGGGUGUGACAUUUGUGGGGCAGCCUACACGAUGGAAACUCUGCUGCAGAACCACCAGCUCCGAGACCACAACAUCAGACCUGGAGAAAGUGCCAUCGUGAAGAAGAAAGCCGAGCUUAUUAAAGGGAAUUACAAGUGUAACGUGUGCUCUCGAACCUUCUUCUCUGAAAAUGGCCUCCGAGAACAUAUGCAGACCCACCUAGGCCCUGUCAAACACUACAUGUGCCCUAUUUGUGGAGAGCGGUUUCCCUCCCUCUUAACUCUUACCGAACACAAAGUCACACACAGUAAGAGUCUCGAUACCGGAAACUGCCGGAUUUGCAAGAUGCCUCUCCAGAGUGAAGAAGAGUUUUUAGAGCAUUGCCAAAUGCACCCUGACUUGAGGAAUUCCCUGACAGGAUUUCGCUGCGUGGUCUGCAUGCAGACAGUGACCUCCACCUUAGAACUCAAAAUCCAUGGGACAUUCCACAUGCAAAAGACAGGGAAUGGGUCUGCGGUUCAGACCACAGGGCGUGGCCAGCACGUCCAAAAACUGUACAAGUGCGCAUCUUGCCUCAAAGAAUUCCGUUCCAAGCAAGAUCUGGUGAAACUUGACAUCAACGGCCUGCCAUAUGGUCUGUGUGCUGGCUGUGUGAAUCUCAGUAAGAGCGGCAGCCCAGGCAUCAACAUCCCUCCCGGCACGAGUAGACCAGGCUUGGGCCAGAAUGAGAGUCUGAGUGCCAUUGAGGGAAAAAGCAAAGCAGGGGGACUGAAGACUCGCUGCUCUAGCUGCAAUGUUAAGUUUGAGUCUGAAAGUGAACUCCAGAACCACAUCCAAACGGUCCACCGAGAGCUCGUGCCAGAUAGCAAUAGCACACAGUUGAAAACUCCACAAGUAUCACCAAUGCCCAGAAUCAGUCCCUCCCAGUCGGAUGAGGAUAUUGUCUUCUCUAUGACUGAAGAGACCAGCGCUCAUGCCAACACCACUGAGAUCUGGAAUCUCAGCAUAGCUUCACCGCGAGUUGAAAUCCCCAGCUAUGACUUGUGUGCAUGGCAGAGAAAUAAUGACAUAAAAAAGAAGACCUAUCAGUGCAUCAAGUGUCAGAUGGUUUUCUACAAUGAAUGGGAUAUUCAGGUUCAUGUUGCAAAUCACAUGAUUGAUGAAGGACUGAACCACGAAUGCAAACUCUGCAGCCAGACCUUUGACUCCCCUGCCAAACUCCAAUGCCACCUGAUAGAGCACAGCUUCGAAGGGAUGGGAGGCACCUUCAAGUGUCCUGUCUGCUUUACAGUGUUUGUUCAAGCAAACAAGUUGCAGCAGCAUAUUUUCUCUGCCCAUGGACAAGAAGACAAGAUCUAUGACUGCACACAAUGUCCACAGAAGUUUUUCUUCCAAACAGAGCUGCAGAAGAUCUUCAGUGAAGUCUAGAGACUGACACUCCGCAUCUCUUCUCUCCAACCCCGAAAGCCAAUCCAAUAACCUGUGCAGCUCCGACCUCCAUCCUUCCUUCAGAAGAUGAAAUUAGGCCAUUUGUAUUUUCAGUGACUCAGAACACAGUGUGGGGAUGGGGAACAGACACAUCCCAGGAUCCUCAAAGGUGACGAGGGCAAGCCUUUGAGGACUGGAUCAGAAUCAUCUGGGUUUCUUUUUUUUUUUUUUUUUAAUGCAAGUGUGCGCAUUCCCCAAGACCAUCUAGGAAUAUGUGCCCUUCCCACCUUGAGAGUCCUUGCCAAUGGUGGACGCCAUGACUAGCGGGACCCUUUCCUAGCCCUCAGUUGAGCUGGAGCAAAAGAAAGAAAAAACAAAUGACAAAUCAUACGAUGACCCAACACAGCAGUUAGUGCAAGAAUGGUCUCUCAAGGAGAAUUACUUUUGUGGCACAAAAAGGGAACAUGUUUUACUCUUUGCACGAAACUUUCAUUGUUAAUGUAUAUUAUUCAGAAACAUUGUAUUGUACCAUAAAACUUGUAUUAUCAAAACUGUUGGAUGUUCAUGUGUUUGAACUUUCGAGCACCGGAGAUGUUCAUGUGUUUGAACUUUCAAGCACCGGAUAGACUCCUUGUAUAUAAAGUGUUGCACAUGUAUUAUGUCGUCUGAUACUAAAAUGGUCUUAUAAAGACAAGUGGACUUGGGCCCUAUUCAGGCAAGAUUAAAAAAGAAAUGUGAGCAAAAUGGCUUAAGAGAAAGUAUUUUCAAGGAAGACAGAUGAAAACAACUCUGUUACACAUGAGACGAUGUUUGGACUUCCUUUUAUUUACACUUAAGCCUAGAAUUUCUCUUUUGGUAUAUCAACGGUUAAAUCCAAGACUAUUUUUUAUUGCUGAAGAUUCUUGCAAACCAUGAAGAGAUGUUCUUCCAGAACAGAACCCCACAGCUGGAUAAGGCCCAUAUAUAUAUUUGUAAGCCUUGCAGUGUGACAGGUAGCAUCACUAUAUAUGCAAUAGUUGUUAUGUAGACUGUCAAAGAAUUUUUUUUUUCCUGGAUACAUUUGAGGCUUUGAGUGUUCAAGGUUUUCUUUAAUGAUUUCACACAGCCAAAUUCUUGAAUCAGUUGAACUAACCUGUAUGUUACUGUUAUUAAUGUUUACUCUGCGGUCUGAACCUGGAGAUUACUGGAAUUGUUUUCCAAGAGGAAAUAAAUUCAGUUUACCAUUAGG